AUUGAACGCUGGCGGCAGGCCUAACACAUGCAAGUCGAACGGUAACAGGAAGAAGCUUGCUUCUUUGCUGACGAGUGGCGGACGGGUGAGUAAUGUCUGGGAAACUGCCUGAUGGAGGGGGAUAACUACUGGAAACGGUAGCUAAUACCGCAUAAUGUCGCAAGACCAAAGAGGGGGACCUUCGGGCCUCUUGCCAUCGGAUGUGCCCAGAUGGGAUUAGCUAGUAGGUGGGGUAACGGCUCACCUAGGCGACGAUCCCUAGCUGGUCUGAGAGGAUGACCAGCCACACUGGAACUGAGACACGGUCCCGACUCCUACGGGAGGCAGCAGUGGGGAAUAUUGCAAAAUGGGCGGAAGCCUGAUGCAGCUAUGCCGCGUGUAUGAAGAAGGCCUUCGGGUUGUAAAGUACUUUCCGCGGGGAGGAAGGGAGUAAAGUUAAUACCUUUGCUCAUUGACGUUACCCGCAGAAGAAGCACCGGCUAACUCCGUG
rnacentral:rRNA from 1 species